rnacentral:tRNA from 1 species
ACUUAUAUAGCUUAUAUAGAGCAAAAUAUUGAAGAUAUUUAGGAAGUUGAGACUUUUAAGUA